CCCUAACAACACACAACAUUCCAGGAAUGUACUACCAAAGUUCUAUCAAUAUUUGAAUGUCCUGGACAUUUAGGGAACAUUCGGUGAACAUCUGUUUAAAUUAUUCCUGGAAUGUUACCAUAAGACAUUCUGUGAACAUACUACCAAUGUUCCUAUAUUUUAAGUUGCGAAAUAAUACAUACGUGUAAGAGAUACAACAUUACUUAUAACAUACCAGACAAACUAAGUGACAUUUUAGGCCUACAGUGCAAUAAUAUGUCAAAUUUAAAGAGUUUCCCAAGAUUAUAAACAUACAAAUGUAAUAAAAAUUAUUGUUCGCGAAUAUUCAAUUUGGAAUGCGAUUUUGUUAAUAAAAAAAAUACUUCUAACUUAUGCAAAACCCAAGAGAGGCAUUUAUAUUUAUUUCUUUUGCGUUCAUUUUCAAAUUCGCCGUGCAUAUAUUUUUGUGCAUGGCGCUUGAGAGGGCAUCACGUGACUAAAAACGACCAACCAACGACCUCGCUUCGGCCAUCUUGGCAUCUUCAUCUUGGCGACCUUGCCUUGCCGUGGAUUGUUUUUAGUUGUUUGUAUUAUUUGUGCUUUUUAAGAAUAUUUUUUUAAUUCGGAUACUUUUAUAAUAGCUUUAAUAGUAUUAUUAACAUAGUGCAUAAAAUGGUGUCCUGUUUUUAACGCAGUUGGAGUAGCAGAAACAAAUGUAGAUAAAAAAAUCUGCAGGAAUAACGUUUCAAUUAUGACAGAAGCUCAAAACAAAUGACUGUGAAUGAAAAGCCCUAUUAAAAGCUUUCCAGAAGAUCCUGCGAAGAAGACAUGAAGUAUAGAUCAGAUUUGUUAAUAGAGGAGUAUGUUCAAAACACUUUUUAGAAAAAGAUAUUGACAGAACUUCACUUUCAUCUGUUCGUUUGAGAGACUGUGCUGUUCCAAUAGCUUAUGUCACACAGAAUCAGCUGAGAGAAGUGGUCUACAAAAAACCAGAAAGGAAACGGAAUAUGUGGCUACGAAAAGCAAAAGAAAGGUUUACAAAGCAAAUGUGACACAUUUUUUUAUAAUAUUUAGGAAUGUCAGCAAAUUACAUUAAAAAAUGUAUGUAAAGAUUUUUUGCAAUAAAAAUGUUUAUAUUUA